rnacentral:rRNA from 1 species
AGUACGGCGAGUGAGAGGGAAGAGCCCAAGAUUGAAAGCUGGCGUCUUCGGCGUCCGCAUUGUAAUCUCAAGAAGUGUUUUCCGCUUCGGACCAUGCCUAAGUCCCCUGGAAAGGGGCAUCAUAGAGGGUGAUAAUCCCGUACAUGGCAUGGAGCGCCCGAAGCUUUGUGAUACGCUUUCUAAGAGUCGAGUUGUUUGGGAAUGCAGCUCAAAAUGGGUGGUAAAUGCCAUCUAAGGCUAAAUAUUGGGGAGAGACCGAUAGCGAACAAGUACAGUGAUGGAAAGAUGAAAAGAACUUUGAAAAGAGAGUUAAACAGUACGUGAAAUUGCCAAAAGGGAAGGGUAGGAGGUCAGAGAUGCGUCUUGGGAUUCAGCCUUGCUUCUGCUUGGUGUUUUUCCCAAGUUUGCAGGCCAACGUCGGUUUUGGGCACUGGAGAAGGGUAGAAGGAACGUGGCACCUCUCGGGGUGUGUUAUAGCCUUCUACUGGAUACAGCGACCGAGACCGAGGACAGCAGCGUACUCGCAAGAGCGGGCCUUCGGGCACCUUUACGCUUAGGGCGUUGGCAUAAUGGCCCUCUACCACCCGUCU